CCAUGGCUUUUAUAGCAGGGGAAGGAACACAGGCCUGAACCUUGGGAUCUUUGUUGACGCUUCCCAUCAGUCAUCCCACCACUAUUUAUGGAGCAGCUAAUAAGGACCACGUGUCGGGGUUAAAGAAUGAAUGAAACACAAUCCCCGCUCCCAAAGAGCAUACCGGUUGGUCGUCCGAGGCACGCGGUGGCAUUCAUUCCUCAUGUAUCUCUCCCCGUAGCUCUCUUCCGAGUGUCUGGUGCAGGCCCUCACCGCCUGGACAGCGGUCUUCAAAUGACUCCUCUGCGAGACCAGAUUCCGGGUCCGUGGCGGUGGCGGUGGAGCCGUGCUUGUAUGCCUCAGCCUGUACCUUCAGCGUGUAGCCCGACGGCUAAGACCCCGUAGGCGCCACACAGAUACCCCAAGAAGCCUGGGCACCCCUUGUCAAGCUCUGCUGCAUCGG
rnacentral:lncRNA from 1 species